AAUUUUCUGCUCUCAUUUUCAGAUGAAAAGUGCUACACAGUUCUCACACAUCUUCUGACUCCGAAGCCGCUGCAGUGUAAAAUCUGAGAUGUCUUUUCUGGUUGAUUUUGUGCAGAUUUCUGACAGCGACAGCGAUGGUGAGGGAAGCAGUGUACCGAACUCUCAGAUGACUCGGACCAGGUGACCAAACCCAUGCAAAGCACAAUGACUUUGCUGAGGCGUCCCGCCCCCCUCCCCCUCCACACCACUCAAGGCACGGCGGCGGCCCAACCGCAAACUAACGGAGAUUAACAUGAGGCUGGAUGCGCUUGGCUCCCUGCUGCGUCCAUCACCAGAGGGGCCGGGAUUGCUGCGGCAGCUAGCCAAUUAAAGGAGGAGGAUGAAGGAGAGGAGUCUGACGAUGCCGACAUCGCCAUCGUAUGCAGUCCACGCCCUCGCAGGAAAACCAGCCAAUGAAAACGCUUGCAGCAGCAUCAGCAGAACACACCGGCACGACUGACAGAGCUUCUGAAGCAUGCAGUGGAAGACCUGUCAGUCAAGCUAAAGGUCCCGCCCUCCAACCUGCUGCUGCUGCACGGAGAGGCGGAACUUAACACCUCACACACUAUUGGCCAGCUAGGACUCUGCAUCGCUGACAUCUUUGUCUGGAACCAACUUCACAUCCCUCUUCACUGCACUACUGACACUGAGAUGGAAUCCACAACCCAACCACUAGUGGUCUGCAUUGGGAACCUGAAGAGUCUGUCAUAACCGCCAGGAAUGACCGUGUGACCAUUCCCGUUGCAGACUGCCUGACUUGCACAAUUGACAAGCUGUUCAAGCUUUACUGGGUCUGCAACUUGUUAUAUCCUAUGUAAUGUUAAAAUAAAGUGUUACCAUCAUAUUUUAAAAAAAUAUAUGUUGUAAAACUGGACGAUUGUGAAAUGAUAUGAUGUGGCAGAUGUAAGACCCAUUGAUGUAAUGCAGAGUUUUCAUUCAGAUGAACUGUCUCUUAACCCAAGGUACAAUGUCUUUUCUUCCAAUAUGUUGGAUCCUACAGUAUUUCAUAAGAAAGUUUUCAAGAGUAUUUAACACUACUUCGAAUUUCAAGACUUUUGGGUUUUGUAAUACACCGGUAAUGUUGUUAAGAGAUGAUAGUGUACGAGUCAUAAUCAUCAAUACUUCAUGAAAUUCGCAGUGGUGUUAAUUAUUCUUGAAAAAGAUCACAUUUGUUAUCUCCCCCUCUUUAAUUGAAUGUAAACACAA